rnacentral:tRNA from 1 species
GCCCAGGUGGCUCAGUGGGUUAGGCGUCCGACUUCGGAUCGGGUCAUGAUCUCAGGGUUCGUGGGUUCAAGCCCCGCAUCGGGCU